UGCCCCCGGCCAGGCUCGAACUGGCGACCCUAGCAUACCUCCAAAAUUCUCCUGGAAAUAUAAGAGCUAUAUGGUAACCAACUCCACCACGGGGGC